CCGCGUGUGUGAAGAAGGCUGCGGGUUGUAAAGCACUUUCAGUGGGGAAGAUAAUGACGUUACCCACAGAAGAAGCACCGGCUAACUCCGUGCCAGCAGCCGCGGUAAUACGGAGGGUGCAAGCGUUAAUCGGAAUUACUGGGCGUAAAGAGUACGUAGGCGGUUUGUUAAGUCGGAUGUGAAAGCCCUGGGCUCAACCUGGGAACUGCAUCCGAUACUGGCAAGCUAGAAUCUGAGAGAGGGGAGUGGAAUUUCCGGUGUAGCGGUGAAAUGCAUAGAGAUCGGAAGGAACACCAGUGGCGAAGCGACUCCCUGGACCAAGAUUGACGCUGAGGUACGAAAGCGUGGGUACAAACAGGAUUAGAUACCCUGGUAGUCCACGCCGUAAACGAUGUCAACUAGCCGUCGGCUUCAUAUAAAAGUCGGUGGUGCACUACGCAUUAGUUGACCGCCUGGGGA
rnacentral:rRNA from 1 species